UUUUUUUUUUUUUUUCUUAGGGCUGCACCUGAGGCAUAAGGAAGUUCCCAAGCUAGGGGUCUAAUCAGAGCUAUAGCUGCCAGCCUAGACCACAGCCACAGCAAAGCAGGAUCCGAGCCGCAUCUGUGACCUACACCACAGCUCAUGGCAAUGCCGGAUCCUUAACCCACUGAGUGGGGCCAGGGAUAAAUCCUCAUCCUCAUGGAUAUUAGUGGGUAUCAUUAAAUGCUGAGCCAUGACGGGAACUCUUCAGUUGCCUUUUUAUUCUCUGUGUCCUUUGCUCAAAGUGUCCUGUGAAGUUAAAACAUUUUUAAUAUUUAUAAAGUCCAAUUUAUCUUUUUUCCUAUUGGAUGCUUAUGCUUUUGGUGCAAUGUAUAAAAACUAUUGCAUAGUCCAAGGUCACAAAGAUUUAUAUCUAUUAUCUUCUAAGUGUUUAUAAUUUUAGUUCUUGCAUUUAGGUCUUUGAUCAAUUUUGAAUUAUUUAUUUAUUUAUUUAUUUGUCUUUUUGUCUUUUUAGAGCCACACCCUCGGCAUAUGGAGGUUCCCAGGCUAGGGGUCUGAUCAGAGCUACAGCUGCCAGCCUAUGCCAGAGCCAUAGCAACACCAUAUCUACAUACAUACCUACAUACAUACCAUAUCAUACCUACGCCACAGCUCACAGCAACGCCAGUUCCUUAACCCACUGAGCAAGGCCAGGGAUUGAAACUGAAACCUCAUAGUUCCUAGUCGGAUUCAUUUCCACUGUGCCAUGAUGGGAACUCCUGAAUUAAUUUUUUAUAUGGUAUGUGGUAAGGGUCCAACUUGAUUUUUUGGCAUCCAGUUGUCCCAGCACCAUUUGUUGUUGAAAAUACUGUAACUUCCCCACUGAUUUGCACACUUGUCAAAAUAAUUGACUAUAAAAAUUGACUAUAAAUUAGGGCAUAUUUCUGGACUCUCAGUUUUAGUCUACUGACUUAUUACAUCUAGCCUUAUGCCAGUACCACACUGUCUUGAUUACUGUUGUUCUCUAGUAAGUUUUGAAAUUGAGACACAUGAAUCCUCCAACUUUCUUCUUUUUCCAAGAUUGUUUUGGCUUUUCUUUUCUUUUUUUUUCCCCCCACCUGUGGCAUGCAGAAGUUCCAGGGUCAGGGAUCUGUGUUACAGCAAUAACCAGAUGUUUUGGCUUUUCUUGGUCUCUUGAAUUUCCAUAUGAAUUUGAGGAUCAGCUCAUAAAUUUUUUCUAAUACACCAGUUGGGAUUUAAUAGGAAAUGAGUUGAAUCUGUAGGUUAAUUUGAGGAGUAUUGCUCUUUUAGCAAGAGUAAGUCUUCCAAUCCAUGAACAUGGGAUAUCUUUUCAUUUAUUUAGAACUUUAAUUUUUUUCAACUAUUUUUGUAGUUUUCAGGGUACAAGUUUUGUACUGCCUUCAUUAUUUCUAAAUAUUUCAUUCUUUUCUUGAGGCUAUUCUAAAUGGAAUCAUUUUCUUAAUUCCAAUUUUAGUCCCUUGCUACUUUUAACCACAGCAAACAAAUAACUGGGUUUCAUUUCUUGAUUAAGAAAGCUUCAGAUGAAAAAUCUCAAUUCAUUUAGAAAUUCUUAUGUCUGGACUUAAGGAUAAAGUUACAAAUUGAGCCAAUGUGGUUUUGUGUGUGUGUGUGUGUUUGCCAUUUCUUGGGCCACUCCCGCGGCAUAUGGGAGGUUCCCAGGCUAGGGGUUGAAUCGGAGCUGUAGCCACCGGCCUACGCCAGAGCCAUAGCAACACAGGAUCCGAGUCUCGUCUGCGACCUACACCACAGCUCACGGCAACGCCACAUCCUUAACCCACUGAGCAAGGGCAGGGAUCGAACCCGCAACCUCAUGGUUCCUAGUCGGAUUGGUUAACCACUGCGCCAAGACGGGAACUCCCCAAUGUGUUUUAACAAUCACAAAUCUUGGCUGAUAAGACUAGAACACAUCUGGACACUCUAAGUACAUGUAUCUAAUAAUUUAGAUUAAGAAGGAGUAGAAAUAUGAAUACACUGGUAUGAUGGUCCAGCCUCCCAGAAGUUCAGCUGGUGGAGCCACAGACAUGAGCGCGGUCGUGAGGCCACAGGGAUGGCGCUUUCCCACAGUGAUACCCCAGUGACCUUGGGCAAGGGCUUCACCCCUGUCCACAUCAGUGUGUGCAUCUUUACAAUGGAAAUAACACUUUGUACGAGGAUGGCAGAAUGAUCCCCAAACUGGGCUGUCCAUAUACUCCAUUACUAUACAAACUACUCUCAUACAAAAAGGAAAUCUAAGAAUUUCUAUUUGUUUAUUCACAUUCCUCCUUAAAUGUGUAUCUUUAUUUGAGCUUUAGAAGUGCACAUAAAUGUACGUACUCUAACAGUAUCGUGGUAUAUCUGCAUACUUUACACUGAAUUAGCAAACACAAUUUGUUGGUUCAUUCUCAGUUUUUUACUAGUGGGAACCUUUGGCCUAAUUUGUUGCUUUUAACACAUAGCCAGUGCUCAGCAAAUGUUAGCUAUCAUCAAAGUAAUAUUUAGAAUGGUCAUAUUAUCAUUAUGAGUAAAUCUAAAAGGACUAGUCGCACUAUUUUGGUUUAUUUUCUUGCCACCAUUGAUGAGAUUGUGAAAUGCACAAAGAUCAAAGAUCAAAAUUAUCAGACUGAAUGACACAUCAACUCAACCAUAAAUAAAUAACUCUUAUUAUUAUCAUUUAAAAACAUAGGAAAAUCUUAAGGUCAAGAAAGAAGGAAAGUAGAUUUUAAUUUCCAUGUCCUCAGUGUGUUAACAGUAAGUCCCCUGAGAAAUAUUUCCUAGUGGGGAUAGCGUUAGGUUGUGCAGAAUCAAUUUGUAUUUUCCAAUUUUUAACUCUCCACUCCCGUGGAGCUCAGGAUCACCGGAGUGUAGGCAUUCCUGACAUCUCCCAGGUCUCCACGGCGGCCAGGUCCAAGGUUUGGGCGUCUAAUCUGGGAACGUCCUUCUCCAGCUCAGCUGGCUUCCCUGCCAUUCUUCAGAGGACUGUGUGUACCGCACCAGACUCACUUUCCCAGAAGUGCUUCUGGGACCUCGGUCUGCACAAAGGGGCCAUCAAAUGUGUUUCCCUCCCUGCUGGCUCAGCUGACGCCGGCCUCAGGUCACACACUGCUCCCGGUUCCUAUCAACUUCUCCCCAAGGGGCCCCGGCUCCUGCAGGAGCCAGCACUUCCCUGGAACAGGAAACGCUUUACACUGUCCUGGAGCCUGGUGCCCAGCCAUAAAAGGGAACAGAGCCCUUUAGGGGGAAGGCGGGCUCCUUGGAAACGCUGUAAAAGUGAAAGCUUUGCAACCGGUUUCUGUUGUUUUCCCCUGUGGGUUGAUGGUUUUUCAGAAUAUAAAAACACAUACGCUGUGGACGAGUGGAACAGUAAAUCUGAAAGCUGACAUGACAGUAAAAUAAAACAUAUGGGGAGAAUGUCAUAUGAAGCUUGCAGAGUACACACUUGGGGCAGUUAUUUCUUCCAGAACAUCGUUCCAUGCAGACAGUCAGGUUUAUACAUUAUUAGUCAAUCAACGAUAACUGAGAAAGAAAGGCUGCUUGGACUUCGAAAUAUCAUGAUGUGGUUACUUACAUAUUUAUGUAUGUAUUUAUUUAGGCCAUGCCCACGGUGUGUGGACAUUCCCAGGUCAGGGAUCGAACCCUGGCCACAUCAGCAACCCCAGCGGCUACAGUGACAACGCUGGAUCCUUAACUCACUGUGCCACAGGGAAACUCCUGAAAUGUUUCAUGUUUAGUUUUGAUGGUUGUUACCAACCUCCCAUGCUGGUGUCUAGGCUGUCAAUCCCCUUCCAUUAGCUAACAGACACACUGGAUGACUGAUCGGAGUCCCAGAAUUCAGCAGAAGAUAAGGAUGUGCCAGGGGAGGGGCGCUUUAGGAAUCAGAACUCUUAGGGGAUUUCAUCAUAAUGGUCAAUCAUUACUUAAUCAUAAUUUAAAUUAUUUAAAAUAAUUGAUAACCAUAUUUACUAUUAAUGGUAACUAUGAACAAUUAUUAUGAAUUGUUAGAAAGCCUUGAGUUAAGUAAGUGCUUUACACAUACAAACUCAUUUAACCCUCAGGAUAACCUUGCGAAUUACACACUAUGACAUGAAGGCUAAAUAACUAGAUUAAAGUCACGGUAGGCAAUGAAGCCAAGUCAGAAACCCGAGGCAGCUGGUCCCACAGACCCUUACACUCCACUGCUUUGCAUAUUCUGUUUCUAACCGGGUUCUAAGCCGUUUAGAUGCAUCAGCAGUUUUAACCUAAACAACACAAAUAAUGUGGCAGAUUUCAUGAGAGAAAGUAUUCAACCAUUCCCCAUUUAUUCAGCACCUGCUAACACCUAGGACAACACCCAGAUCAAGUGCAGUGAUUCUGAUGUCCUUGGGACUAGAGGAAGAGGAGGAGAGGCCAGCGAACCCAUCGUGAGACCCCCCCCCACCCCCCAGCAUCCCUGGUCAGAGGUCUCGCCAUCGCUCCAGCCCCAUCCCCCACCUCCGCCAUCCCAUCCUGCCUAGGUUUAGGCAUGAGGUUCCCUGCGUGUUUCUGUGCCCGCGUUGUCACUGGCUGGAAUGCAACCCCCCCCCCGCCCCCGCCUUUCGGCUACUUGAGUCACCUCACAGACCCCAGCUUAGGCAUCGCCGUUCCUGAGCCCUGCAAAGAGGGAUCACGUUCCUGCUUCCCUUGUGUUCCCCGGGCCCCGCCAGCCUCUCCACAGUGCCAGCCUGCAGGCUCCGGAGAACGGAGCUGCAUUUUGGCAGCUGUGAGGUUCCCCUGCUUCCGUCAGGGCCUGCCACAGAGGGUUAGUUAGGGUUAGGGUUAGGGUUAGGGUUAGGGUCAGGCAAUGCUGAGCUCAGCUGCUCAAUGGACCACAUCACCUGUGGAAGCUACUUUCUCCAAACCCGAAAGACUCUGGAGAACUGGAUCAAGAAGAGGAGCAACCGAAAUGCCCUCAACUGAGAUUCCAGGCUGAGGGGUGGUUUUUGUUUCUUGCUUGUCCAGCUGCCGCUACUGCUGUGCAGAGGACAGAUGGAGGGCACAGACAGAAGGAAGGAACGCUGGAGGCACAAGCUGAGAGCCCGAGACUGGGGAGAAGGCAGGAACUGCCUCCUUUCAUACUCAGACUUCCCACUAGAUGGUCCGUGGCUGUCCUGUUGCCUUCUUCACCACCCAGCUCCUUCCAGGCUUCCUCGGGGUCACCAAUGACCCCCCCAUCGCUGCAACCCUAAACCACUCCCCAGUACCUUCAGGUCCAGAGCAGGAUGGAAAAUAAGUCUUUUUUAGAGGAGGAAGGGCCACUCUGCUGUAUCAAGAGGAGAGGAAAGGAGUUCCUGUCAUGGUGCAGCGGAAAUGAAUCUGACUAGGAACCAUGAGGUUGUGGGUUCAAUCCCUGGCCUUGCUCGGUGGGUCAAGGAUCCGGCGUUGCCAUGAGCUGUGGUGUAGGUUGCAGACAGGGCCUGGAUCCAGCGUUGCUGUGGUUGUGGUAGCAGGCUGGCGGCUGCAGCUCAGAUCUGCUCCCUAGCCUGAGAACCUCCAUAUGCCGCACGUGCGGCCCUAAAAAGCAAAAAAAAAAAAAAAAAGAAGAAGAAGAGGAGAGGAAAGCAGGGCACAUGCGAUGAUGGCAUACAUUUGAAGGCACAAAGUCCAUAAAAGUCUUGUCUGCAAUGUCUAUUUUUUAUGAAAUAAAAUGAAAACCACAGUCAAUGAGGGGUUGCGAUUGGCACAUGCACACUGAGGUCUAUGGAAUGACUGGCCGACAGG
ensembl:lncRNA